rnacentral:rRNA from 1 species
CAGUGGCGGACGGGUGAGUAACGCGUGGGAACGUGCCCUUUGGUACGGAACAACUGAGGGAAACUUCAGCUAAUACCGUAUGUGCCCUUCGGGGGAAAGAUUUAUCGCCAUUGGAGCGGCCCGCGUUAGAUUAGCUAGUUGGUGGGGUAAAGGCCUACCGAGGCAACGAUCUAUAGCUGGUCUGAGAGGAUGAUCAGCCACACUGGGACUGAGACACGGCCCAGACUCCUACGGGAGGCAGCAGUAGGGAAUCUUGCGCAAUGGGCGAAAGCCUGACGCAGCCAUGCCGCGUGAAUGAUGAAGGUCUUAGGAUUGUAAAAUUCUUUCACCGGGGACGAUAAUGACGGUACCCGGAGAAGAAGCCCCGGCUAACUUCGUGCCAGCAGCCGCGGUAAUACGAAGGGGGCUAGCGUUGCUCGGAAUUACUGGGCGUAAAGGGAGCGUAGGCGGAUAGUUUAGGCAGAGGUGAAAGCCCAGGACUCAACCUUGGAAUUGCCUUCGAUACUGGCUAUCUUGAGUGUGGGAGAGGUAUGUGGAACUCC